CAGUAGCCGCGGUAAUACAGAGGGUGCAAGCGUUAAUCGGAGUUACUGGGCGUAAAGGGCGCGUAGGCGGUUAUAUAAGUGAGAUGUGAAAUCCCUGGGCUUAACCUAGGAACUGCAUCUUAUACUGUAUGGCUAGAGUAUUGUAGAGGGUAGUGGAAUUUCCGGUGUAGCGGUGAAAUGCGUAGAGAUCGGAAGGAACACCUGUGGCGAAAGCGGCUCACUGGACCAUAACUGACGCUGAGGCACGAAAGCUAGGGGAGUAAACAGGAUUAGAUACCCCAGUAGUCCCUGUCUCUUAUAC
rnacentral:rRNA from 1 species